CCAUUAUAUAACAAAUGAAAAGUGUCUUGUAAAGGCAAUCACAGAUAAUUAAUCUGUUAAGUUACCGAAAGAUACACACGGGUAUUUGUACCACUUUAGUCAUGAACAUGGGAGAGAUUCCAAAUCCCGAUGUAUAGGGUUUGACGUUUACCCAAAUACUGGAAUGUUAAGAGGAGAUGUGCAAGCAUUGAAUUGAAACCCCAGUAAACGGGCGCUGUAACUAUAAUGGUUUUAAGGAAGCAAGACUAAUUGUCGGGGAAGUUCCGAUCUGUACGAAUGGUGUAAUGA
rnacentral:ncRNA from 1 species